CCUACGGGUGGCAGCAGUGGGGAAUAUUGGACAAUGGGGGGAACCCUGAUCCAGCGACGCCGCGUGAGUGAAGAAGUAUUUCGGUAUGUAAAGCUCUAUCAGCAGGGAAGAAAAUGACGGUACCUGACUAAGAAGCCCCGGCUAACUACGUGCCAGCAGCCGCGGUAAUACGUAGGGGGCAAGCGUUAUCCGGAUUUACUGGGUGUAAAGGGAGCGUAGACGGUGCAGCAAGUCUGAUGUGAAAGGUCGGGGCCCAACCCCGGGACUGCAUUGGAAACUGUUGAACUGGAGUACAGGAGAGGUAAGCGGAAUUCCUAGUGUAGCGGUGAAAUGCUUAGAUAUCAGGAGGAACAUCGGUGGCGUAAGCGCUUUACUGGGCCGUAAUUGACGCUGAGGAACGAAAGCCAGGGUAGCAAAUGGGAUUAGAUACCCUAGUAGUC
rnacentral:rRNA from 1 species